rnacentral:rRNA from 1 species
GAGUUUGAUCAUGGCUCAGAUUGAACGCUAGCGGGAUGCCUUACACAUGCAAGUCGAACGGCAGCGCGGACUUCGGUCUGGCGGCGAGUGGCGAACGGGUGAGUAAUGUAUCGGAACGUGCCCAGUAGCGGGGGACAACCACUCGAAAGAGUGGCUAAUACCGCAUACGCCCUACGGGGAAAGGGGGGGAUCGCAAGACCUCUCACUAUUGGAGCGGCCGAUAUCGGAUUAGCUAGUUGGUGGGGUAAAGGCCUACCAAGGCGACGAUCCGUAGCUGGUUUGAGAGGACGACCAGCCACACUGGGACUGACGACACGGCCCAGACUCCUACGGGAGGCAGCAGUGGGGAAUUUUGGACAAUGGGGGAAACCCUGAUCCAGCCAUUCCGCGUGUGCGAUGAAGGCCUUCGGGUUGUAAAGCACUUUUGGCAGGAAAGAAAUCGUGUGGGUUAAUACCCUGCGCGGAUGACGGUACCUGCAGAAUAAGCACCGGCUAACUACGUG